UACGUAGGGCGCAAGCGUUAUCCGGAAUUAUUGGGCGUAAAGAGCUCGUAGGCGGUUUGUCGCGUCUGCCGUGAAAGUCCGGGGCUCAACUCCGGAUCUGCGGUGGGUACGGGCAGACUAGAGUGAUGUAGGGAGACUGGAAUUCCUGGUGUAGCGGUGAAAUGCGCAGAUAUCAGGAGGAACACCGGUGGCGAAGGCGGGUCUCUGGGCCGAUACUGACGCUGAGGAGCGAAAGCGUGGGAGCGAACGGG
rnacentral:rRNA from 1 species